GUAUGCUAUAGUGCAAGAUCAGGGGGUGGAGGCAGUGCGGCAAUGGCCAUAUGACAGCAUCAGUAUCGAGGAGUGGACUGUCAUAUGCCGUAGGUAUGAAGACCUGACAUAUCAGAUUAAGCAUCCAAAUUUUUUAUUUUUAGAGUUUAAUAAUUGAAUCAUUUAUUCUUAAAUUUAGUUAGUUACUUACUAAUUUAACUGUUAACUGUAUAGGAUCGAUGUGCCCGAAAUACCG
rnacentral:lncRNA from 1 species